ACGGGGUGCAGCAGGCGCGAAACCUUCACAAUGUGCGAAAGCGCGAUGAGGGGAUCCCAAGUGCUUGCACUUAAGUGUAAGCUGUUUCUUUGUUUAAAAUGCAGAGAGAGGAAGGGCUGGGUAAGACGGGUGCCAGCCGCCGCGGUAAUACCUGCAGCUCAAGUGGUGACCGCUAUUAUUGGGCCUAAAACGUUCGUAGCCGGCUGAGUAAAUGCUUGGGUAAAUCGUGCCGCUUAACGGUACGAAUUCCGGGUAGACUGCUCAGCUUGAGACCGGGAGAAGCUAGAGGUACUCCUGGGGG
rnacentral:rRNA from 1 species